rnacentral:rRNA from 1 species
GGGGAAUAUUGCACAAUGGAGGAAACUCUGAUGCAGCAACGCCGCGUGAGUGAAGAAGGUUUUCGGAUCGUAAAACUCUGUCAUUGGGGAAGAAUAAAUGACGGUACCCAAUGAGGAAGCCCCGGCUAACUACGUGCCAGCAGCCGCGGUAAUACGUAGGGGGCGAGCGUUGUCCGGAAUUACUGGGCGUAAAGGGUACGUAGGCGGCUAUAUAAGUCAGGUGUGAAAUACCAGUGCUUAACACUGGAAUUGCAUUUGAAACUGUGUAGCUUGAGUGCAGGAGAGGAAAGUGGAAUUCCUAGUGUAGCGGUGAAAUGCGUAGAGAUUAGGAGGAACACCAGUGGCGAAGGCGACUUUCUGGACUGUAACUGACGCUGAGGUACGAAAGCGUGGGUAGCGAAC